UAGACUAAUUCGAAUUUAUAAAAUGAGAAAACUUUUGUUUAUAUAAGCUGCUAGGAUAUAAAUUAAAUAAUAUUUUUCUCAAAAACAAAAAACUCGAGACUAAGUUAUAGACCAGUGCCAAUAAUUUUUGAAAAUAAAAAAAGUAUUAGCAGCAUAUGGGUGGUUGGAAUAAAUAUUUCUGUAUACUCUCUUUUUUUCUGAGACCCCAGCCCUAUCUAACAAUAAAUUCGUCUAUUUCUUCCUUCUUGACCAAUCAGAAUUGUCCAUCGCCACAAAAUUUAUUUUAUAUGGUCAUUUUGUAUGAAUACUUCUUUUUUUUUAAUUUUUUUCAAUUUUUACAUGUACCCAUUGCUUAUUCUGUUUUUUAUUUGCCUUCCAAAAAAUAAACAAUUUAUUUUUAUAAAAAUCAAUUAUAAUACCUGUUAAAUAAAUUCAAAAUUAUUAAAUAAAUUCAAAAAGUAUAAUACCAUUUCAUGAAAUCUAAUUCAUUUCAACAUAAAACAUGCAAAAAUUCGCAAAACAAACAAAUAUAUUUUGUCGUCCGCUACUACGGAGACAACCUUCUUCAUGAGAGGACAAAAAAUUAUGAAAAAACUGCAGUUCCAAAAGAAAAAAAACACAUCUGUCAAAUUCGAUGUUAGACAAUCGUGUUCAGACAAAAUCGAAGACACGGUUGUCUAACAUUGAAUCAUAACAAGAAAUGGCGAGCCUCCAUCCACAAGACAUUUCUUGUUAAGACACGUCAACAUGACAAAAAUUAUCUCCUGUGGAGGCGGCCUGUUAUAAUAAGAACAUAGAGUGCCUCUGUUCAACAAAAACAAAACCCAAAAUGAAUUUGUAAGACUUUUUUGAAGCAAACAUUGCGAACAGAAAUCUCUGUUUGAGGCGGAGAUUUUUUUUCAAUAAGCGAAUUUAUUUGUGUGCACGAACAUUUUGUUAUUUCGAUCCUCUCAAUAUAUAAGCAAAAAGAGAUGCCUUAAAAGAGAAAGAGAAGAUACGGCAAAUUCCGGUAAAAACAAUUCACGUUUACACUUGGAGUGUUGCAAAAACUGUCUUGGGUGAAAUCAAUCAGGUUAAAAAUUAUUUUUCUUGCAUUUGAGUGAAUUCUUGUCAAAACUAUUCACGUUUACACUUGGAGUGUUGCAAAAACUGUCUUGGGUGAAAUCAAUCAGGUUAAAAAUUAUUUUCCUUGCAUUUGCGUGAAUUCCUGUCAAAACUAUUCACGUUUACACUUGGAUUGUUGCAAAAACUGUCUUGCGUGAAUUCCUGUCAAAACUAUUCACGUUUACACUUGGAGUGUUGCAAAAACUGUCUUGGGUGAAAUCAAUCAGGUUAAAAACUAUUUUCCCUGCAUUUGCGUGAAUUCCUUUCAAAACUAUUCACGUUUACACUUGGAGUGUUGCAAAAACUGUCUUGGGUGAAAUCAAUCAGGUUAAAAAUUAUUUUCCUUGCAUUUGCGUGAAUUCCUGUCAAAACUAUUCACGUUUACACUUGGAGUGUUGCAAAAACUGUCUUGGGUGAAAUCAAUCAGGUUAAAAAUUAUUUUCCUUGCAUUUGCGUGAAUUCCUGUCAAAACUAUUCACGUUUACACUUGGAGUGUUGCAAAAACUGUCUUGGGUGAAAUCAAUCAGGUUAAAAAUUAGUUUCCUUGCAUUUGCGUGAAUUCCUGUCAAAACUAUUCACGUUUACACUUGGAGUGUUGCAAAAACUGUCUUGGGUGAAAUCAAUCAGGUUAAAAAUUAUUUUCCCUACAUUUGCGUGAAUUCCUGUCAAAACUAUUCACGUUUACACUUGGAGUGUUGCAAAAACUGUAUUGGGUGAAAUCAAUCAGGUUAAAAAUUAUUUUCCUUGCAUUUGCGUGAAUUCCUGUCAAAACUAUUCACGUUUACACUUGGAGUGUUGCAAAAACUGUCUUGGGUGAAAUCAAUCAGGUUAAAAAUUAUUUUCCUUGCAUUUGCGUGAAUUCCUGUCAAAACUAUUCACGUUUACACUUGGAGUGUUGCAAAAACUGUCUUGGGUGAAAUCAAUCAGGUUUAAAAUUAUUUUCCUUGCAUUUGCGUGAAUUCCUGUCAAAACUAUUCACGUUUACACUUGGAGUGUUGCAAAAACUGUCUUGGGCGAAAUCAAUCAGGUUAAAAAUUAUUUUCCUUGCAUUUGCGUGAAUUCCUGUCAAAACUAUUCACGUUUACACUUGGAGUGUUGCAAAAACUGUCUUGGGUGAAAUCAAUCAGGUUAAAAAUUAUUUUCCCUACAUUUGCGUGAAUUCCUGUCAAAACUAUUCACGUUUACACUUGGAGUGUUGCAAAAACUGUCUUGGGUGAAAUCAAUCAGGUUAAAAAUUAUUUUCCUUGCAUUUGCGUGAAUUCCUGUCAAAACUAUUCACGUUUACACUUGGAGUGUUGCAAAAACUGUCUUGGGUGAAAUCAAUCAGGUUAAAAAUUAUUUUCCUUGCAUUUGCGUGAAUUCCUGUCAAAACAAUUCACGUUUACACUUGGAUUGUUGCAAAAACUGUCUUGGGUGAAAUCAAUCAGGUUAAAAAUUAUUUUCCUUGCAUUUGCGUGAAUUCCUGUCAAAAAUAUUCACGUUUACACUUGGAGUGUUGCAAAAACUGUCUUGGGUGAAAUCAAUCAGGUUAAAAAUUAUUUUCCCUACAUUUGCGUGAAUUCCUGUCAAAACUAUUCACGUUUACACUUGGAGUGUUGCAAAAACUGUCUUGGGUGAAAUCAAUCAGGUUAAAAAUUAUUUUCCAUGCAUUUGCGUGAAUUCCUGUCAAAACAAUUUACGUUUACACUUGGAGUGUUGCAAAAACUGUCUUGGGUGAAAUCAAUCAGGUUAAAAAUUAUUUUCCUUGCAUUUGCGUGAAUUCCUGUCAAAACUAUUCACGUUUACACUUGGAGUGUUGCAAAAACUGUCUUGGGUGAAAUCAAUCAGGUUAAAAAUUAUUUUCCUUGCAUUUGCGUGAAUUCCUGUCAAAACAAUUCACGUUUACACUUGGAUUGUUGCAAAAACUGUCUUGGGUGAAAUCAAUCACGUUAAAAAUUAUUUUCCUUGCAUUUGCGUGAAUUCCUGCUAAAACAAUUCACGUUUACACUUGGAGUGUUGCAAAAAUUAUUUUCCUUGCAUUUACCUACGUGAAUUCCUGUCAAAACAAUUCACGUUUACGCUUGGAGUGUUGCAAAAACUGUCUUGUUUGAAAUAACAUAGUUUCAGAAUUAUUUUCCAUAGUUCAGCCCUACACAAGGAUUUUUACUUUUUUGAUAAUUCUUUUCCCCGCCAAGAACUAAAAAAUAAAUACCUAAAAGCUAAAUAGAGGUAUCACCCUGUAUAUGAUUUUUCAUUUCUCAUUUUUCGUUUCAAUUCAUAAUUUCCUUUCUCUCUUACACCAAGUCUUUACAAGCACAUCUAAAACUCUUUUAAAGCAACAUGUUCUAAAACGGGUUUUACGACAGUCAAAUUUGUCAAUCAUUGUGUAUACAUUUCUCACAAUGAUUAUCCGUCUCAAUUUUUGUUUCAAUUUAUAAUUCUUUUCCUUCUCACACCAACUCUUUACUCACACAUAUAAAACUCAUUUAAAGCAACAUGUUCUAAAACGGGUUAUGUGCCAGUCAAAUUUGUGAAUGAAUGUGUAUACAUUUCUCCCAAUGAUUAUAUCCAUCUCAUUUUUCGGUCCAAUUCCUAAUUUUUUUCCUGCUCACACCAGCUCUUUGCACACACAUAUAAAACUCUUCUGGAGCAAUAGGCGUGUUUUUUUGGCAUCGCUAUCUGCAGCCAAAUUGUAUUUCCCAAAAAAACGUAUCCGCAGUUGCCCAUCCGCAGCUGUCUAGCUGUCAGAUAAUAAAACAAAAACAACAAAACCGAAUUUUAUUCAAGAUUAUUUUUGAGUAGUUUUUACGCAUAAUUUAUUGAUUUUUAAACGUUAGAAAUGAAACAGACCAAAUUAAAUUACUAAAAAUGGAUUUUCCUUAUUUUCCAUUUGUACAUCCAUCUGCAUUUGUUCAAAGUUUGAUUUUUUAUUUGGGUUUUGCUUUCGGAUAAGUUUUUGACAUAUUGGGAUAUGUUCGUAGAUUUGGGUACAGUCGUCGUUCAUGAAUUUGGAGUUUUUAUAGGUGGCCCGUUUAUAUGCAGGGUCGAAAGAUCGAAAUUGAAAUUCGUAUGUGAAAUGUGGAAGACUUUUUUUAAUUUUGACAAUAAGGGUCAAAAUUUGUAUAAAUAACUUUUACUUAACUUUAAGGUAUAACUACAACGGCCACUUUUUGCAAAAAGUCAAAAAGUGAAAAUUUUCAAACUCAUUUUGUGAUAGUUUUUCUGUCCACAAAAUUAAAAAUAAUGAUGCAGAAAGCUUAUUUUUUGUUUUAAAAAACAAUUUUUGUAGUUUUUUCCUAAAACAAAUAGCGCUAGAAAUAAAUAAAAAAUUUUUACUUUUGUAAAUUUCCCACUUUUUCACUUUUUAGGUCAUUGUAGUUAUGGCUAAAGUCUCAAAUAGAUCAUGAAAUCUGAGACUUUUCCCCUUUUUCCUCACUUUACAUCCACUUCUAGCUGUCAGAUUCAUAAAUUUGAAAAAAGUGGACAUAUCCAAACUCAUUUUUUGAAAGUUUCUGCAUACCAAAAUUAAAAGCAAUGAUGCAGACAACUUAUUUCUUGAUGUCAAAAACAAUUUUUUUAGUUUUUUUUUUAAUAUGGCGCUAGAAAGAAAAAAAAAAUACUUUUGCAAAUAAAAACGACAUUACAGAAAAAUAUUAAACACCGUAUAAUAAUUAUGUGCGACUUGUUCCUUGAUUUUAUUUCACUAAAAAGCAUUUAAAGUUUAGAGUAGGUUAAGUUUUCAUCAAUGGUAAAUAUGUAUAUAAAUGAAAUGUAGAAAUAAUUUUAUGUGUGCGUUCCAAUACUAAUUCAAAAUAAACUUAAAUAAAAGAACGCACUUUAAGUACGUUGCAGAUUGCACUCUGCGAACAUAGCUUCGAGACUCUUGAUUUAUCCGAUUAUCCGAAAUUUUCUCCGAUCGAGUAUCGAUACUCGAAAAAAUGUCAAUUUCUUAUCCGCAGCUAGAUUUAAGUUUAAGUUUUAUCCGCAGCUGGGUGUUGUAUUUGUAAUACAUGGAAGCUCCCACUGCAGAUAGGGAUAGCGGUGCCAAAAAAACACGCCUAAUAUAUUCUAAAACGGGUUUUAUGACACACAUUCAAUUUGUUUUAAGUUUUUAUUCCGUCGUGUCGUAAUUCGGUUCAUUCCUUAUGUGUUUUUAAUUAAAGAAAUUUUUAAUCGAUAUAACUUUCAAAAUAAUUCAAGAAAGCAAUAAAAAAAAAAUCGUGUUAACUAUAAUACCAAGUGCAUUCGAACAAAAUGGAGUUUAUUGGUUUCCUCCUUCAAAUUGGAGCACCAAAAAAUUAAAUAACAUAAUAAAAAAUGCGUACGCCAAACCAGAUAAAACUUCCUGGGAAGCACGGCCUUGCAUUGUAAAAAAAAGUAACAUCAAAACAUUUGCUGAGGCCGAGGAAGCAGAGGACGCUUUGUUAGACAAAAACAUCACGGAAGCUGAUGAUGACGCAGCCGCCGACGCAGACGAUGAUUCUGAGGAAUCAAUCGUUUUAACAAAACGUAAUAUAUCCCAACAUACAAGAUCGCCACAGGCGGACUUUAAUGGGCUGAUGGAGGAACUGGAGGUACAAGACAACACCGACAUACUCAAUGACUUUGGAACACAUAACAUAUUUUUUCAACAAGAACUACAACCACCAACUGCCAGUUUUGUCAUGAAUUCGUGUCCAACAUCGACAUUGAGCUGCGAAAAUAUUAUACUCGAAAACCAAGUAAAAUUAAUGGACGAACUACAAAUCAUUAAAGAAGUCAUUACUACAGGAAUGGCAAAACUACUUACCCAGGCAGACAGAUGUGUUCCAGAUGAAAAACAGCAUGUCCUAAGAGAACAAGCCGAUGAGUUCACCAAAAUAUCGACUCUAUUGGAGGCGCAAGAAUUUGAAAAGAAUCUUGUGGAGGCGCCAUUUAAAAGUGAAAUGGUACGUAAGAUGUCAUUCCUGGUUGGCAGAAAUGGCAAAAGAUUCGGUCAAGGGUGGACCUGCUCCUACGAAUUGAUUGAUGCAAUUUUUGUUAGAAAUUUUCUGACCAAAUGUUCGUGGACAGGGACAUCAAAAAAAUUUGAAGGAAAAAUCCCAUUUUGCGAAUUCAAAAAUAUUUUAAACGUUUUUGCCGAGGUUUAAGUUGAUGCCGACCCCGAGUUUUCUCUUGAGAAAACAAAAGAUUUUUUUAAAAAAAUUUUAAGAAAUGCAACGAGGUUUCAAAACCAAGAGGUUCUUCAAACUAGAAAAUCCAGUCAACGAUCCCGAGUAUCACAAAAAAAUUUUAAACAAACAAACGAAGAACGAAGCAUACCAGCUGAAGGCAACCCGGCUACCUCAAAAUCAACAUAAAUGUCAAAAAAGACUCAAACCAGGCAUUUAUUAUUUUUUUUUAAGUACAAAAUUAUUUAUUUUUCAUUUAAAAACGUCUUCUUAUAUAGACGUAUAAAAAGAUUGUUUGUUAAACUUAGUUUUUUAUUUAUUUUUUUGAAAAGAAGUAAAUUAUUUAUUUGUUGAUAAGAAGUUAUCUUAUAUAGAUAUAUCGUCGGCGUAAAGCAAAAUUGUUCUAAGUCCUUAUGAAAUCGUAUGUACUUAGAACAAUUUCGCUUUACGCCGACGAUAUGUAUAAGAAGUUAAACUUUGUUUUUUAUUUAUUUUAUUAAAAGAAGAAAGUAAUUUAUGUUUUUGUUAUUUAAAUAACGUCUUCCUAUAAAGAAAUAUAAGAAGAUUGUUUCACAAAAUGAGGAAAAUUAUACCUAUUAAUGUAAUUUAAAAAUU